rnacentral:rRNA from 1 species
GACGAACGCUGGCGGCGUGCUUAACACAUGCAAGUCGAACGGAAAGGCCCUGCUUUUGUGGGGUGCUCGAUUGGCGAACGGGUGAGUAACACGUGAGUAACCUGCCCUUGACUUUGGGAUAACUUCAGGAAACUGGGGCUAAUACCGGAUAGGAGCUCCUGCUGCAUGGUGGGGGUUGGAAAGUUUCGGCGGUUGGGGCUGGAUUCGCGGCUUAUCAGCUUGUUGGUGGGGUAGUGGCUUACCAAGGCUUUGACGGGUAGCCGGCCUGAGAGGGUGACCGGCCACAUUGGGACUGAGAUACGGACCAGACUCCUACGGGAGGCAGCAGUGGGGAAUAUUGCGCAAUGGGCGGAAGCCUGAUGCAGAAACGCCGCGUGCGGGAUGACGGCCUUCGGGUUGUAAACCGCUUUCGCCUGUGACGAAGCGUGAGUGACGGUAAUGGGUAAAGAAGCACCGGCUAACUACGUG